rnacentral:rRNA from 1 species
AUACGGAGGGUGCUAGCGUUGUUCGGAAUUACUGGGCGUAAAGCGCGUGUAGGCGGAUUUAGUAGUCGGGUGUGAAAGCCCUGGGCUUAACCCAGGAAGUGCGCCCGAAACCAUAAGUCUAGAGGUCCGGAGGGGAUCGGGGAAUUCCCAGUGUAGAGGUGAAAUUCGUAGAUAUUGGGAGGAACACCGGCGGCGAAGGCGCCGAUCUGGACGGAUUCUGACGCUGAGACGCGAAAGCGUGGGUAGCAAACAGGAUUAGAUACCCUGGUAGUCCACGCCGUAAACGAUGUGCACUAGGUGUCGGGGGUAUUGACCCUCCCGGUGCCGACGCUAACGCAUUAAGUGCACCGCCUGGGAAGUACGGCCGCAAGGUUGAA